rnacentral:rRNA from 1 species
UUGGAGGGCAAGUCUGGUGCCAGCAGCCGCGGUAAUUCCAGCUCCAAUAGCGUAUAUUAAAGUUGUUGCAGUUAAAAAGCUCAUAGUUGAAUUUCGGGGUCAGCAGGUUGGUCGUGCCACUGGUAUGCACUGGUCUCGCUGAUUCCUCCCUCUUGUAGAACCGUAAUGCCAUUAAGUUGGUGUUGCGGGGAAACAGGACUGUUACUUUGAAAAAAUUAGAGUGUUUAAAGCAGGCUAACGCUUGAAUACAUUAGCAUGGAAUAAUGAAAUAGGACGAUCGAUCCCAUUUUGUUGGUUUCUAGGGUUGACGUAAUGAUUAAUAGGGAUAGUUGGGGACAUUAGUAUUCAAUUGUCAGAGGUGAAAUUCUUGGAUUUAUUGAAGACUGACUACUGCGAAAGCAUUUGCCAAGGAUGUUUUCAUUAAUCAAGAACGAAAGUUAGGGGAUCGAAGACGAUCAGAUACCGUCGUAGUCUUAACCAUAAACUAUGCCGACUAGGGAUCGGAUGAUGUUAAUUUUUUAAUGACUCAUUCGGCGCCUUACGGGAAAC